CAAUGUUAUUGUCAUGGGAGAUACUAUGAUCACAAAGGUAAUUUUCUCAAGGUGAGAUUCAUCUAUUGCACUACAGAUGUGAUCAACCUAGUGAUAUCCCCAAAUAUGGGAACCUUGACUGCAUAAUUUGUGGUAAUGGGGGGCUGCAUUUUUUUUAUUAAAUAUAAGCCUCAC
rnacentral:snRNA from 1 species